GUACGGUUUUAUCGGAUUCUGGGCGUAAAGCGCGCGUAGGUGGUUUGAUAAGCGAGAUGUGAAAGCCCCGGGCUAAACCUGGGAACGGCAUUUCGAACUGUCAGGCUAGAGUAUGGUAGAGGGUAGUGGAAUUUCCUGUGUAGCGGUGAAAUGCGUAGAUAUAGGAAGGAACUCCAGUGGCGAAUGCGGCUAUCUGGACCAAUACUGACACUGAGGUGCGAAAGCGUGGGGAGCAAACAGGAUUAGAUACCCUGUUAGUCCACGCCCUAUACGAUGUUAACUAGGUGUAUGGAGAAU
rnacentral:rRNA from 1 species